CGCACGGCCGGCGGCCCGCUCCUCCUGCUCGAGGAUCAAGGCCUCCAGACUCAUUUUGCUGAGACAGGACCUGGAGGAGGGAAAGACGGCAGGAGCAAGGAGUGAGGAAUGUUCUUUCCCAGGGCUCUUCCAGGUGACACAUCCAACUCUCGGAAGCUCCUAGUGACACUGCGAUCUCAGCGGGGACCUGGGUUUCAGUUGCGGAUGGGCCGGGGCCCUGCUGCCUGUUCUGGUGCCCGCAGAGGCAAGUUCUGGGCAUCGGUCACUGGGGGUUGGAGUCAUCUCACCACACUGACCUGCCGCCUAGGGUAGUUCUCUCUCCUGAACCAGCAUGUCUUUGUUCCUUCACAGGAUGAAGGUGAAGACAUGAGACAUGAGCGCCUGUCCUUAGGCUGACAGAUGUCACUGAUGCCUAAGGGACAGAGGAGCCGUAGCUGAGAAGUACUGCAUGUAAGGCUAGUGUUCGAUUUGCAGGAGGCAAAACCAGUAAAAUUGAAGGUAGAAUAGUAAGAAUCAGGCAAGAUAAGUCAGGAGGAAAAAAUAGGCGCGACUGUCCAGCGCGUGCUCGAGCCAGCUCCGUAGCCGUCACUCUUCCAGGAGUCUGCAGGGCUGGGGUGGUUUGGGGUAGAAACAUUUUCUUAAUGACUUUUGGGUGCAGAUGUGCUGCACCCUUCCAGUGUUCACAGAGUCACGCCGAGCUGUAUCAAUGGGAGAUAGAACUUUGGGGAGAAGGUGGGCCAAGGCGGCAGGAACUCUUGUAUCUUCACACCUCACUCGCUGUAAUUAGUUGCAAAUAAAGUCUUCACA